rnacentral:rRNA from 1 species
GACGGGGGGGUCCUAGCGUUGUUCGGAAUCAUUGGGCGUAAAGCGGGCGUAGGUGGCUAUGUAAGUCAGGAGUGAAAGCCCUGGGCUCAACCCAGGAAGUGCUUUUGAAACUGCGUAGCUUGAGUGUGGAAGAGGAUAGUGGAAUUCCAGGUGUAGUGGUGAAAUACGUAGAUAUCUGGAGGAACACCGGUGGCGAAGGCGGCUAUCUGGUCCAACACUGACACUGAGGCCCGAAAGCGUGGGGAUCAAACAGG